AGCAGAGUGGACGAAGGGUACGUUACCGGGCUCAUGAUCCGGGGGAGCAGGUUCGAAUCUUGCCUAUGUUA